GAGGAAAUGUAAAAUAUUUCGAAAAUUAUAGAUGUUUAAGUGCUUUUAUUUAACAAUUGGUUCAUGCUUUAGCGUGCACUAUUGAGUUAUGGAGCACGUGGGAAGUUUGGAGAGCACAAAAAAGCGUAAGAGUUGCCCGAGGCGAUAGCGGAGGAACUCUAGCUUCUUGAGUUCUCUACAAACUGCUCUAUAACUCGAUAAUGCUCAGCUAAAAGCAUGAACCAAUUGUCUUAAAACAAAGUAGGUGGAAUUGUGCAUCAAAUCCGAUGCGAAAAACGGACAAUAAUAUCAGAAGUGAUUGUUCGCGGUAAGCGAAAUACUAAGCAAAAUAGGAAUUGGUUUUAUUUCAAAUUUUCCGUUUAAAGCACGAGUUUUAUAUUUAACAAUUUUAAAACGAAAAAAUUUAAGCUUACUUUGAAAGUUGAAACAGACCAGUUUGUCAUUUGUUUGGUUUUACCAAUGUCUUUCUAUCAAAAAUUGUUCAGUGCGUUUCACCCUCGCACAGUGAAGCGAAUCAUGACGGCGCUGAUGCCGAGUCUCCUUUUCUGUUGCUUUUCUCUUUUUCGGCAUCAUUUCAAGAGAAAAGGUCGGAAAAUCGUCUUUAUUUUGGGACUGGCGGGCCGAGUUUCUGUUUGUAUCCAUUAUUGUCGCGAGAUAUAAUAUUUUUCUCCUCGCUAACAAUGGCCGCUCCCGCGAAAAAAAAUUCUGGAGAAGCGAUUUGCUCACGCUAUCUCACGCUAUCAGCGUGCACUAUCGGGAUUUUGAGUACGCUUACGUACGCGGCUCUGCUAGCUAUGUGAUAAAAAAUAGUUUUAUAACUGUCCACUUGAGUGGCGCCAUGUGUUAUAGUUUUUAUGGAUUUCGUAACUCAGGGUUAGAAAGUGUUGUCCUCUGCCCUACUGAUAUAUUAAGGCCCUUUGGGUGUAUAGGUGGCUUCCGUAAGAAAUGUCGGUAGCGUCGACUUUCUAGCCUGGUUGCCUCCGUAGCUGGGCGAAAUAAAACAAAAUACUAAAUGCCUAGUCAUCUAAUUAGUGACACACAUGAAUGGAUUAACGAGAUUCCCACUGUCCCUAUCUACUAUCUAGCGAAACCGCAGCAAAGGUAGCGCACUAUGUAAAAUCACCGGGGAAAGAAGACCUUGUUGACCUUCAUUCUGGUCUGACCUUGUGAAAAGACACGAAAGGUGAAGAAUAAGUGGGACCAGUUCGCUGCGCCGUACGCUGCCCCGGUGAAAUAUCACUAUUAGCGAACCGCAAGGUUCACUUUCUAGACUUAAGACGCCCCUCGCGGGAGGCGAUCCGAGUCGAAGACACCGUCAGAUUGGGGCGGCAAAUCUUAACUGAUGAUAACGCAGGUGUCCUAAGGUGAGCUCGAUGAGAACAGAAAUCGCAUGUACAACAAACACUUGAACAAAGGGUAAAAGCUCACUUGAUUUUGAUUUUCAGAAUGAAUACAAACCGUGAAAGCGUGGCCUUUCAAUCUGCUUGAGUUUUAAGCAAGAGGUAUCAGAAAAGUUACUACAAGUAUAACUGGCUUGUGCCAGCCAAGCGUUCACAUCGCUUUUUGAUCCUUCGAUGUCGGCUUUUCCUAUCACUGCGCAGCAGAAUUCCCCAAGUGAUGGAUUGUUCACCCACCAAUAGGGAACUUCAGCUGGGGUUUGACCGUCGUGAGACAGGUUAGUUUAUUUACCCUACUGAUAAAGUGUUUCUGGUCUAUUAGACAGGAACCCCAGAUUCAGACAAUUGGUAAUUAUACUUGGCUGAAAAGCCAAUGGUACGAAG
rnacentral:rRNA from 1 species